rnacentral:rRNA from 1 species
AUGAAAUUUAAUUUCUACAACAUUAAUGCACCGAAUCCCAUUAUAACUCCACAAUUAAGUGUGUUUAGGCUAGAGUAGUAUUGGAAUGGGUGACCUCCUGAGAAUUCCUAGUGUUUUACAUG